rnacentral:rRNA from 1 species
CUACGGGGUGCAGCAGUGGGGAAUUUUGGACAAUGGGCGCAAGCCUGAUCCAGCCAUGCCGCGUGAGUGAAGAAGGCCUUCGGGUUGUAAAGCUCUUUCAGGUGGGAAGAAACGGUUAAUGUUAAUAGCAUUGACUACUGACGGUACCACCAGAAGAAGCACCGGCUAAGUACGUGCCAGCAGCCGCGGUAAUACGUAGGGUGCGAGCGUUAAUCGGAAUUACUGGGCGUAAAGGGUGCGCAGGCGGUUUUGUAAGCCAGAUGUGAAAUCCCCGGGCUCAACCUGGGAACUGCAUUUGGGACUGGAAGGCUAGAGUAAGGCAGAGGGGGGUAGAAUUCCACGUGUAGCAGUGAAAUGCGUAGAUAUGUGGAGGAAUACCGAUGGCGAAGGCAGCCCCCUGGGUCGAUACUGACGCUCAGGCACGAAAGCGUGGGGAGCAAACAGGAUUAGAUACCCUCGUAGUC